rnacentral:rRNA from 1 species
GACGAACGCUGGCGGCGUGCUUAACACAUGCAAGUCGAACGAUGAUGCCCAGCUUGCUGGGUGGAUUAGUGGCGAACGGGUGAGUAACACGUGAGUAACCUGCCCCUGACUCUGGGAUAAGCGUUGGAAACGACGUCUAAUACUGGAUAUGACUGCCGGCCGCAUGGUCUGGUGGUGGAAAGAUUUUUUUGGUUGGGGAUGGACUCGCGGCCUAUCAGCUUGUUGGUGAGGUAAUGGCUCACCAAGGCGACGACGGGUAGCCGGCCUGAGAGGGUGACCGGCCACACUGGGACUGAGACACGGCCCAGACUCCUACGGGAGGCAGCAGUGGGGAAUAUUGCACAAUGGGCGAAAGCCUGAUGCAGCAACGCCGCGUGAGGGAUGACGGCCUUCGGGUUGUAAACCUCUUUUAGUAGGGAAGAAGCGAAAGUGACGGUACUUUCAGAAGAAGCCACGGCUAACUACGUGCCAGCCGCCGCGGUAA